rnacentral:rRNA from 1 species
UACGGAGGGUGCAAGCGUUAUCCGGAUUCACUGGGUUUAAAGGGAGCGUAGGUGGGCUGGUAAGUCAGUGGUGAAAUCUCCGAGCUUAACUUGGAAACUGCCAUUGAUACUAUUAGUCUUGAAUAUUGUGGAGGUCAGCGGAAUAUGUCAUGUAGCGGUGAAAUGCUUGGAGAUGACAUAGAACACCAAUUGCGAAGGCAGCUGGCUAGACCUGUAUUGACGCUGAGGCACGAAAGCGUGGGGAGCGAACAGG